GACGAACGCUGGCGGCGUGCCUAAUACAUGCAAGUUGAGCGCUGAAGGUUGGUACUUGUACCGACUGGAUGAGCAGCGAACGGGUGAGUAACGCGUGGGGAAUCUGCCUUUGAGCGGGGGACAACAUUUGGAAACGAAUGCUAAUACCGCAUAAAACUUUAAACACAAGUUUUAAGUUUGAAAGAUGCAAUUGCAUCACUCAAAGAUGAUCCCGCGUUGUAUUAGCUAGUUGGUGAGGUAAAGGCUCACCAAGGCGAUGAUACAGAGCCGACCGGAGAGGGUGAGCGGCCAGACUGGGACGGAGACACGGCCCAAAGGCAUACGGGUGGCAGCAGUAGGGAAUCGGCGGCAAGGGACGAAAGACUGAGCGAGAAACGCCGCGGGAGGGAAGAAGGUCUUCGGAUCGGAAAACACUGUUGGUAGAGAAGAAAGUUGGUGAGAGUGGAAAGCUCAUCAAGUGACGGUAACUACCCAGAAAGGGACGGCUAACUACGUG
rnacentral:rRNA from 1 species